UGAGAGCAUCCGUUGUCAACCC
rnacentral:piRNA from 2 species